rnacentral:rRNA from 1 species
AGCUCCAAUAGCGUAUAUUAAAGUUGCUGCGGUUAAAAAGCUCGUAGUUCAGAGGCUGGCAGGGUCGGCUGGUCUGUCCACUGGGCACGCACUCAGCCUGGCUCUGCCACACCCUGACGACACUUCUUUCCGCUUGACUGCGCAAGGAGCUGUUCUGACAUCUACUUUGAGGAAAGUAGAGUGUUUCAAGCAAGCGCACGCCUUGAAUAUGUAAGCAUGGAAUACCAAAUACUGCCUGGGCUGAACAUUAUUGGCUUCCUGAGUUGAGGUAAGAGUUGAAAGGGCCAGUUGGGGGUAUUCGUAUUUGACUGUCAGAGGUGAAAUUCUUGAAUUUGUCAAGGACGGUCCAGUGCGAAAGCAUUUGCCAAGAAUGUUCUCGUUGAUCAAGAACGAAAGUACG